CCUACGGGUGGCAGCAGUGGGGAAUAUUGGACAAUGGGCGAAAGCCUGAUCCAGCCAUGCCGCGUGUGUGAAGAAGGCCUUCGGGUUGUAAAGCACUUUCAGUGGGGAAGAAAGCCUUGGGGCUAAUACCCUCGAGGAAGGACAUCACCCACAGAAGAAGCACCGGCUAACUCCGUGCCAGCAGCCGCGGUAAUACGGAGGGUGCGAGCGUUAAUCGGAAUUACUGGGCGUAAAGCGCGCGUAGGCGGUCUGAUAAGCCGGUUGUGAAAGCCCCGGGCUCAACCUGGGAACGGCAUCCGGAACUGUCAGGCUAGAGUGCAGGAGAGGAAGGUAGAAUUCCCGGUGUAGCGGGUAAAUGCGUAGAGAUCGGGAGGAAUACCAGUGGCGAAGGCGGCCUUCUGGACUGACACUGACGCUGAGGUGCGAAAGCGUGGGUAGCAGACAGGAUUAGAUACCCGGGUAGUC
rnacentral:rRNA from 1 species